AGGAGAUCGAGGAGCCGUGGCGACAGUGGGCAGACGAACGGCAAAACAACUGGGGCUGGGUUCCUCAGUAUCAACGCCGGUUCGAGGGGUUCGACGACGAGGGAAACGAGGCCGAACCCGCCCGAAGAAGGUCGCAGUUCGACGACAUCAGCACGGAGCUUUUCCCGAGCACAGACAGCGCCAUGUACCGAUACCUCUACCCGGAACCAGAUUCGUGGCUGCAACCAGAGGACGAAGAGGUGGAGAGAGUCGCCCGGGUGGCCGUCAUCAGUGACGAGUUAGGGGUGUCGACCUCGCGAACAGCAGCAACACCGACUGCUUCAUUCGCUUCGCUCGGGCUAUCGCCAGCCCAAGACACCGACGAGCUGGACUUGUCGUUCGGCAGCAGCGACCUCCAAGCUCUUCUCGGACCAGAAGUUGAUGUCAAAGCCCUGACAGCGGAGCUGCUGCAGGAGGAGGAAAAGUGGGUUGAGGCACCUGCCGAAUGGCGGACGAAUACCCCACGCCGACUCAUCCCCCGGAGCCUCGUUGAAAUGGUCCGAACAAGCCAACAACAGGGGACCUGGAGGCGACGCUUCACCCUGGAGUGGCCGGAAAGCACGUUCAAGAUCACGAUCACCCCGUCCGGCGGCGUCGCCAUCAGAUAUCACCCGGGAAGAAAGGGGGGGGGGGGGGGGGGGGGGGGGGGGGGGGGGGGGGGGUGUGGGUGUGACGACGCACAAUUUUGUAGUAUGUAAGUAGUUAUAAUUGGUAGAUAUAUAAGUUCUAUUAUAAAGGGGAAAUUAUGAAAUCUUUG
rnacentral:lncRNA from 1 species